AGUUCGAUCGCCGUUCAGAUUGAACGCUGGCGGGAUGUUUUUACACAUGCAAGUCGAACGGCGGCACGGACUUCGGUCUGGUGGCGAGUGGCGGAACGGGUGAGUAAUGUAUCGGAACGUGCCUUAGUAGUGGGGAUAACUACGCGAAAGCGUAGCUAAUACUGCAUAAUGUUCUUCGGGAAAGCGGGGAAUUUCGGGCCUCGCACUAUUAGAGCGGCCGAUAUCGGAUUAGCUAGUUGGUGGGGUAACGGCUCACCAAGGCGACGAUCCGUAGCUUACUUGAGAUAGUCGACCAGCCACACUGGGACUGAGACACGGCCCAGACUCUACGGGAGGCAGCAGUGGGGAAUUUUGGACAAUGGGGAAACCCCUGAUCCGCGCCAUCCCGCGUGUGCGAUGGAAGGCCUUCGGGUUGUAAAGCACUUUUUGGCAGGAAAGAAACGGCACGGGAUAAUACUCCCGUGCAACUGACGGUACCCGCAGAAUAAGCACCGGCUAACCACGUGCCAGCAGCCGCGGUAAUACGUGGUGCAAGCGUUAAUCGGAAUUACUGGGCGGGGCGCAGGCGGUUCGGAAAGAAAGAUGUGAAAUCCCAGAGCUUAACUUUAAACUGCAUUUUUAAACUACUGGAGCUGAGUGUAAGCCAGAGGGAGUGUGGAAUUUCGCGUAGCAGUGAAAUGUGUAGAUAUGCGAGGAACACCGAUGGCGAAGGCAGCCUCCUGGGAUAACACUGACGCUCAUGCACUGAAAGCGUGGGAGCAAACAGAUUAGAUACCCUGGUAGUCCACGCCCUAAACGAUGUCAACUAGCUGUUGUGGGGCCUUCGGGCCUUGGUAGCGCAGCUAACGCGCGUGAAGUUGGACCGCCCGGGGGGAGUACGGGUCGUGCAAAGAUUAAAACCCAAAGGAAUUGAUUUGGGACCCGCACAAGCGGUGGAUGAUGUGGAUUAAUUCGAUGCAACGCGAAAACCUUACCUACCCUUGACAUGUCUGGAAUCCCGAAGAGAUUUGGGAGUGUCGGCAAGAGAACCGGAACACAGGUGCUGCAUGGCUGUCGUCAGCUCGUGUCGUGAGAUGUUGGGUUAAGUCCUGCAACGAGCGCAACCCUUGUCAUUAGUUGCUACGAAAGGGCACUCUAAUGAGACUGCCGGUGACAAACCGGAGGAAGGUGGGGAUGACGUCAAGUCCUUCAUGGCCCUUAUGGGUAGGGCUUCACACGUCAUACAAUGGUCGGGACAGAGGGCUGCCAACCCGCGAGGGGGAGCCAAUCCCAGAAACCCGAUCGUAGUCCGAUCGCAGUCUGCAACUCGACUGCGUGAAGUCGGAAUCGCUAGUAAUCGCGGAUCAGCAUGUCGCGGUGAAUACGUUCCCGGGUCUUGUACACACCGCCCGUCACACCAUGGGAGUGGGUUUUACCAGAAGUAGUUAGCCUAACCGUAAGGAGGGCGAUUACCAUUUUGUGAUUCAUGACUGGGGUGAAGUCGCAACAAGGUAA
rnacentral:rRNA from 1 species